rnacentral:rRNA from 1 species
AUUGAACGCUGGCGGAAUGCUUUACACAUGCAAGUCGAACGGUAGAGGGGGCAACCCCUUGAGAGUGGCGAACGGGUGAGUAAUAUAUCGGAACGUGCCCAGUCGUGGGGGAUAACGUAGCGAAAGUUACGCUAAUACCGCAUACGAUCUAAGGAUGAAAGCGGGGGAUCGCAAGACCUCGCGCGACUGGAGCGGCCGAUAUCAGAUUAGGUAGUUGGUAGGGUAAAGGCCUACCAAGCCAACGAUCUGUAGCUGGUCUGAGAGGACGACCAGCCACACUGGAACUGAGACACGGUCCAGACUCCUACGGGAGGCAGCAGUGGGGAAUUUUGGACAAUGGGCGAAAGCCUGAUCCAGCCAUUCCGCGUGCAGGAUGAAGGCCCUCGGGUUGUAAACUGCUUUUGUACAGAACGAAAAGGUUUCUAUUAAUACGAGGAGCUCAUGACGGUACUGGAAGAAUAAGCACCGGCUAACUACGUG